rnacentral:rRNA from 1 species
UACGUAGGUGGUAAGCGUUAUCCGGAAUUAUUGGGCGUAAAGAGCGCGCAGGUGGUUGAUUAAGUCUGAUGUGAAAGCCCACGGCUUAACCGUGGAGGGUCAUUGGAAACUGGUCGACUUGAGUGCAGAAGAGGGAAGUGGAAUUCCAUGUGUAGCGGUGAAAUGCGUAGAGAUAUGGAGGAACACCAGUGGCGAAGGCGGCUUCCUGGUCUGUAACUGACACUGAGGCGCGAAAGCGUGGGGAGGCAAACAGGAUUAGAUACCCCU